UAUUAUUUUUGGAUGUUAAUGUUUUGCCUGAGUAGUAUUAGUUAUGUUCUUGAAACUUAAAGAAUUUGGCGGUAUCUUAUUCCGUUCAGAGGAACCUGUCUCGUUAUCGAUAGUCCGCGUUGGACCUUACUUAGUUGUUUAUUGGUUUGUAUACCGCCGUUUAUUGAUUAUCUUUUUAGAGUUGUUUGAUUUUCUUGUUCCUUUAUUUGGUUUAAUUUCAGGUCAAGGUGCAGCUUUCUCUAAGUGUAUUGGUGGGUUACAUUGUUAUUUGUUGUUUUUGGAUUGUUGGUUUUAAUUACUGGCAUGAAAUUGGAUUUGAUUGUAAUUUUUUGAAGAUUGUUUUUGUGAUAAUUGGUUCUGAGAUAUGUACACAUCGCCCGUCGCUCUCGUUUUAUUUGUUAAUGAG
rnacentral:rRNA from 1 species